UGGGGAAUAUUGGACAAUGGGCGCAAGCCUGAUCCAGCCAUGCCGCGUGUGUGAAGAAGGCCUUUUGGUUGUAAAGCACUUUAAGCGAGGAGGAGGCUACUUGGAUUAAUACUCUAAGAUAGUGGACGUUACUCGCAGAAUAAGCACCGGCUAACUCUGUGCCAGCAGCCGCGGUAAUACAGAGGGUGCGAGCGUUAAUCGGAUUUACUGGGCGUAAAGCGUGCGUAGGCGGCUUCUUAAGUCGGAUGUGAAAUCCCUGAGCUUAACUUAGGAAUUGAAUUCGAUACUGGGAAGCUAGAGUAUGGGAGAGGAUGGUAGAAUUCCAGGUGUAGCGGUGAAAUGCGUAGAGAUCUGGAGGAAUACCGAUGGCGAAGGCAGCCAUCUGGCCUAAUACUGACGCUGAGGUACGAAAGCAUGGGGAGCAAACAGG
rnacentral:rRNA from 1 species